UUGCUAUUCUCUGUUUAUAACAUGCCCAACAGGAAACUGGGAUCAUUGUGAUGAGGGGCACAGAACUUGUGGCCUCUCUAUCAACAAAUUCCCUACAUGU
ensembl:snoRNA